rnacentral:tRNA from 1 species
GGAAGUGGAUAGGGCGCUGGUGGCCCUCCCGGACUUCAAAUCCGGUGCGCCGGGUGAACAGCCUGGCGGGUGGGUUCGAUUCCCAUGCACUUCCGCCA